CAGGAGAAAGGCCCUUUAAAUGUCCCUUUGAAGGCUGCGGUCGGUCUUUUACAACGUCAAAUAUCAGAAAACAGAGAUGGAUCAGUCUGCACAGCUGGAAUCCUCCUGGUCACAGCACAUGUCCCAAGGAAGCCUUAUGCCACUCAGAACAUCAUAUCCAUGGACUCAGAUGAAUCCAAUGACAAGACUGGGAAUUUCCAAGGCAGGCAUAUGAGUCUCCUCUGAUGCUUCACCUACACGCUUCAGAUUCCACAGGCCCAGGGGGGCGAGGAAGCUGCACAAAGAAGGACCAGCAGGAGCCCAGGUGAGGAACGCCUUGCCCUCCCUGCCCAAGUGUGACUGCUCUGCGUACAGUGACUUUAGGGAUUGAAAGGUGACAGGGCAGAAAUCGCUUUCAAGGAGGGCUGCAGGGGCGCUGGACAAACCAGUCUCCCAAAUUCCUUUUGUUAGUACUUGUCUCCAUAAGCAGCCCCCUCCCAAGCUCAUUUAAAUAUGUGAAUAUUAUUAGUGAAAUUGAAAAUCACUUGGUAUAAAGCUACUAUGUGCCUGGCACCAUGUUAAGCACUGUGGGUGGACUUCAUAAUCACUGUCCUCAGGAAGUUCAAGUCUAACUAGGAGACAUGUACACACACCCAGCCAAGCACGUGAGCAAAGACAGGGGAGCAAAGACAAGGUGCCGGAGAUGAGCUCCGGCAACCAGGGGUUCCCGAAGGAAGA